AGGGUCAAUACCUGGGCCUUUUCUAGUAGGAUGGGCUAUUGACAAUGCAUGCUUAAUAUUUCUAGAAGGAUCAUGCGGUAACCAAGGAAACUGUUUGUUAUACAGUCACGAUUCGAUGGCGUUAGGUGUUAUGGUGUGGUGGCUUGUUGUUUGUCUACUUUCGGCACUGUUUUACUUGCUAGCUAUAUUCUUUCAGUGUUGUAGAGGAGAAAAAGGCUCUUUUGAUUUGACUAAAAAGUAAUGAACAUCUGGUUAUUUUAUUUUAGUGAUGACAUUUUUUAUUCGGGCAUUAUGAUUGACGCUAUUUUUUUAUACAAAGGUACACGAAUUAGUGUAGAGUAAAUUUUGUAAUAUUUUUAUUGUUGACUAAUAGAAAACUUUCGAGUUUGUCCGUCACCGGCGCCUUUGAGACGUCAUUUACCAGAUAGAGCGGAUUGCCUGUAUCCCUGCACUGUAAAGUUCAUCAAGCAUCUUAGUGAUCGUCAUUGUACAGGAUGAACUAGAAAUAAAAUUUGUUCUGUAGGUACUUUAUCACGAUUCCCUAAUGACAGCAGUGCUGAAAGACAAUUAUGAGUAUUUAAUUUGCCGAAUAGUUCGUGCAAUAUAGUUUUAUAGUUUUCCAACCACUCGCUCAACAUUGGAACGGAAGUGACGACGCCCCUAAACGGAUGAAUGAUGUUCACUUAAACCAAAGUUUUUGACGGAAAUGCACCGAACUCGAAAUUUGCUUACUGAAUUGUUGAUUUGUUUUUUAUUUUUGAUAUAGAUCCCGAAUUGUAUUUUAUUGUAUUCCAUUAUGUUUUAUUCAUUAUUUUUUCAUUCAAACUCCAUUUGAUGAAAGUAAAUCAUAUUAAUCAUUUUCUUUUCUGACAUAUUGAAUACAUCUUAUGUUCUUACCAGAGAUACAUAAGAAUAUGAAAAAGAACAGAUGUAGGGUACAUUAACAAUAAUUUCUCACACUUUACUUGUGCGGUGUGAGCAAACUCUCCGUGUUGUAGGCCGUAUCUUGAGCUAUAAUGGUCUACUUUUAUACAUUGUUACUUGGAUGGAGAAUUGUCUCAUUGGCACUCAUACCACAUCUUCCUAUAUCUGAUUUACCAAAUUUGUUAUGGUAUUUCUACUGUCAUUUCAGUCAAACUUGUUUUUAGACAGGUUGAUAUAGUUACUUAUUUUAUGGAUUCAGUACUGAUAUUCAGACUGAUCUGAUACCGUACUGAUUCAAUGUUUACUCUCAGAGCUAACCUUGUCUUUAUCGAUAUCUCGCACCUGUUUCAGUUGUAGUUGGUGUAUGUCUUUUUGAAAGAUAUUAGUUUAACAGUUUAUUCCAUAAUAAUUCAGUUCAAUUCAAUUCCAAGUUUUAUUGUCAUAUGAAUCGGCUUAAAAUGAUUUAUGACUUAUGAACUUUACCAUGGACGUACAUAUUUUAACAACACUUUGGUUAAUUUUUCACUUUUUUUUAAAAUUUAUAUUCUAUGUAUAGGAUUAAUUUUUCUAAAUUUGGUUUAUUAUAAACAAAAUUUUAGUUGGAUCUUGAAUUAAAACCAUACCCACAGCUUUACUUGUUUUGCUCAGUGUAACAUAAAACACCAAGAAAGAAAUGAAUAUAUUGUCAUAAAACAUCUGAAACCACUUCAUUAUUUGUUUUCUCAUGGAAUAUCUUAAGUAUAUACUAUAUUGUUUUCAUGCCCCUUAGUAAAAAAAUAUGUAAUUAUAAAUCAUUAGAUGUAUUUCUUUGAUAAAUAUAUUCAUGAUGUACAUUUUGAAACAUGUAAAUGAUUAAUGUUUAGAUGAUUUAUUCUGAGUAUUCAAUCAUCUAAAGAAAGCAUGCACGAAAUACCCGAAGGAUAACUUUAAAACAUCUGUAAUCAUUAAUUGUCAAUUUCAAUGUUGUAAAUUAUUCCAGUAAAUGAUUUUUAACGCUGAUUUAUGCAAGCUUUAUGUAACUUCUUGAUAAUCCCCAAAAUAUUGUAACAGUUUCUAAAUUUUCUUAUUUAAAGUUCUGCAAGAAAAGAUUUGUGUUGAUUUUAUGCUGAAAUAAAUUUCAUUAUAUAUUAUAUAUAAUUGAAUAGUUGAGCACUAAUUGUUGUUGUUUGUUCAUAUAUAAAAUUGAAUUCAGG
rnacentral:lncRNA from 1 species